rnacentral:rRNA from 1 species
UACGUAGGGGGCUAGCGUUGUCCGGAAUCAUUGGGCGUAAAGCGCGUGUAGGCGGUCCGGUAAGUCCGCUGUGAAAGUCGAGGGCUCAACCCUCGAAUGCCGGUGGAUACUGUCGGGCUUGAGUACGGGAGAGGCGAGUGGAAUUCCUGGUGUAGCGGUGAAAAUGCGCAGAUAUCAGGAGGAACACCGAUUGCGAAGGCAGCUCGCUGGAACGUUACUGACGCUGAGACGCGAAAGCGUGGGGAGCAAACAGG